AGUUCAUAAUUUAUAACAUAAUAACAAUAUAUUGUUUUAUCAUAAGCAUCCUGCUUAUUAGCUAAAUAAUAAUUCUAUAUUUAUCUAAAUAUAUCAUUAUGAUAUUUUUUUACUUAUUUUUCAGAAUAUAUAUCAUUUUUAAUUAAUCUUGAGAAUUUUAAUCGAAUCUUGCGAUUCAAUUCGAUUCUCAAUUCACAAAAUG
rnacentral:misc_RNA from 1 species